rnacentral:rRNA from 1 species
CGGUGUUUAACUGGCGUGAUGUGGGACGUCCUACCGGUGGGCUUAGCCUCGCGAGGGGCGGCCCAACUAAUAUCCCGUCGCGGUGCUCUUUACUGAGUGUCGAGUCGGGCCGGUACGUUUACUUUGAACAAAUUAGAGUGCUUAAAGCAGGCUAUCCUCGCCUGAAUACUGCGUGCAUGGAAUAAUGGAAUAGGACCUCGGUUCUAUUUUGUUGGUUUUCGGAACCCCGAGGUAAUGAUUAAUAGGGACAGAUGGGGGCAUUCGUAUUGCGACGUUAGAGGUGAAAUUCUUGGAUCGUCGCAAGACGGACAGAAGCGAAAGCAUUUGCCAAAAAUGUUUUCAUUAAUCAAGAACGAAAGUUAGAGGUUCGAAGGCGAUCAGAUACCGCCCUAGUUCUAACCAUAAACGAUGCCAGCUAGCGAUCCGCCGAAGUUCCUCCGAUGACUCGGCGGGCAGCUUCCGGGAAACCAAAGCUUUUGGGUUCCGGGGGAAGUAUGGUUGCAAAGCUGACACUUAAAGGAAUUGACGGAAGGGCACCACCAGGAGUGGAGCCUGCGGCUUAAUUUGACUCAACACGGGAAACCUCACCAGGCCCAGACACCGGAAGGAUUGACAGAUUGAUAGCUCUUUCUUGAUUCGGUGGGUGGUGGUGCAUGGCCGUUCUUAGUUGGUGGAGCGAUUUGUCUGGUUAAUUCCGAUAACGAACGAGACUCUAGCCUGCUAAAUAGGCGUACCUUAUGGUAUCGCGAAGGCCCCCGGCUUCGGCCGGUGGGUUUUUACUACCAACGUACAAACAAAUCUUCUUAGAGGGACAGGCGG